CCUCUCGGAAGCACGUGCAUCUUACGUCAUUUCCUGUUAUUCUCUUCUCUGAUUCCUCGGUCCUAGGAGGAUUCGCUGGGGACCGCGUUUGGGGCGUGCCCGCUUCCUCCUCUCUGUCAGGAUGAAAAUAACUACUCCUCUGCCAACUAGAAGAAUUGCUUUGAUGAUCUGGUGCCGUGGUGCCUAUGAUGCUGCUGUGGGAUCUUCAAAGUGCAGGGCACGAGGAGUCCUUUAAGCCAGGUUUACUUACUCCAGCUGUGAAACCUGAGAUCCAUUCACCCUGUGAAUUGUCCAGCCUGUCACAGCUGAGCCAAGCCCGUGGUGCUUCUGCAGAGCCUGAAGCUGCUGGCAUAGGUUCUGAUGCAGCAUGAAUGCUUUCACCUUCCCUCUGCUGGGUCCUAUCAAAUGGAAAAGGAGUGGAGCCCAGUCCUAAGUGCUGCUCAGCAUGUCAAGGACUCCUGGAGAAGUGCCUACACCUUUCACUUAGCUCAGGGAAGCCGGAGCCAUCCUGGAGGAAGUGUGCAUGGACAACCUCUCAAUAAUCCCGGAUACUCCCAAGAAAGUGUCCCACGUGGCAGAAAUGGCACAGACUUGCCUGCAGCCUUUGAAGAUCACCCAAUAGCAGACUUUCAAAGUGGGAAGAUCGCUCCUGGCCUAGUGCCAGGUCCAGGACUUCUGCCAGAAGUUCUGUGCCUUUGAUCUGCAACCUGUUAUGGUUAUCCAGUAAGCAAAGGCAUAUGCGGAGGCUGCCUGGUCUGAUGGCUCUCUCUACUCUGAAAGCCACACAAGUCAUGUCAGUGAAAUGAAGCAUCCAACCUGUGAGGCCAAGAAUGCCUGGGACACCCCUGCAUUGCUAUCUUCAUGAGAGAAAACAUUUAGAGGUUCAACAUGGGAAGGGAGGGGAGUGAUCUAUGAGAAAGAACACUCAUCUGCAAAUCAGGGGCUGAGUUCUGCUCUUAUCUCAUGUACCCUGGGACAGACAACUGUUUUUCUCUAAGGGCCUCAGCUUCCUUGUUAAGUGGUUAUUGGAAGCAUUCACUCUGUAUUUCAAUGUGCAAUUUUCUCAAAUAAUAACAUUGCCAACUAGAUAAAGCUGGCUAAGAUAAAGGAGAGAUCUAAAAUAGAGUUUAAAACCAGUCCAAUAUCUGCUGGUUGGUUUUUCUCAUUCAAAAGUAAUAGAUGUUCAGAACAGAAAAAACAAAACAGAACAAAACAAAACAAAAAACCAAGAUAUGGCCAAGCACAAAGUAGUUCAUAGAGAACAUUGCCCUGGAGAUCAUGCUGUUGGCAUCUUUCUGGGAUCCUUCCAGAUAAGAGGUUCUUAACUUGGAUUGUUUGGAUGGGCUUUGUGGGAAGAGAGCCCCUGAAUGAUUCAACAACCCCCUUUUGUGGUCCAUUUAGGAUAUUUGAGUUGUUUUGCCAUUACAAAGAAUGCCAUGCACAUACAAGCUGGAUGAAAAAGAAUUAGCACUUAAUGAGAAAGCAAGCAGAAAAAAUGGACAAUUUGAACACCUGACAAAGGUGCUUUAAAGGGCACAAAAGGAUGCCAAAUUGCCCCACAGUGCAUAGAAAUUACCGAUAAGAGACAAAUAGAUCAAUGCUCACUUUAAGCCAUUUACGUUUAAGUUAACACAUACUUACUGGACAGGUGCUGCUGUAUCUGUGCCAGGUGCUGUGGACUCUACAGGCAGCCCAGCCACUGACCUCACAGCUUUCAAACUGGUGGAGACCGACACGGAAAUUAUUUCAUGCAGAAACCGUCAUUUGUGUUUAAGCAAACUACCUUCAUGCAUGAUUGGCACAGUAAAACCCUGAAUCAUUUUGUUCCCCAAGCUCUUCCUGACCCAGCCUCCCAGCCUUUGAGGGCCUGUGUGUUUCAGGUUUCAGCCUUGAGGAGAGUUCUCCUUCCAGCUCACAUCCAAUCCAGAGGUUCCCUCCAGGUGCCCCUGAAUGGAGGCCAUUCAACAUUUAUUUGUCCUCUUCAGAGAACAGGAAGUUUACUACCCUGGAUUUGAACUCUACUUGUUUGAAACUUUUCCCUCUAUUGAACUCCAUCCUCCCUCCCGGUAGGCUCCUCUGAUUGGUCCCAGAACCUCACAAAACAAGUCUGCAUUUAUCUCCAACCUGCAGGUCUAAAGAACUUUUAGAUCUUCGGGGGAGGCACCCAAUCCCAUGGUCUGCCCCCAAGACAGUACCCAGCAUCUGUGUCUUUCCCUGGCAGAAUAGGCCUGCAGGUCCCCUGUUGAUUCAUCAAACCAUGCGCAUGCCCAGACUAAACAAAGUAUCCAUGAACAGAUGGUCAUGGCAUGGGGGCAGCAAGGCCCAGACCUUUGAGGACAGAUUAUGCUAGUGACACUAGAAAACUUCCUGCAGCUUCAGGAGGGUGGAUGGGGACAGAGAGAAGAUGAGCCAGCCCUGAUUGGAGGACCUAAUUGGCUGUCCUCCCAAAAAGAGCCUGUGUGCCUGGAACAGUGCCUCCCACACUAAUGUGUGUGCUAAUCUCCUGGAGGUUUAAUUCAGCAGGUCUGGCGUAGAACCUGAGAUUCUGCAUUUUUUCCAAGCUCCCAGAGGUAUACUGAUACUUCAGGGGAUACUUUGAGAAGCAGAGCCCUAGGGCAGUGGUAUCAUAAUACCCUGGAGGAGCUUUAAAAAUACAGAAAGUUUGGCCUACCCCAAAUUGACUGAUUCAGUCUUCUGGUCCAUUUAUUGACAAGGUCUCAACCUAGACUGCACAUUAGAAUCAUGUGAAGAGUUUUUAAAAUGUUGAUUCUCAGGGUAGAGACUCACUUGUCUUUCUCUCUCUCUCUCUCUCUCUCCCUCUCUCUCUCUGUCCCUCUCUCUCUCUCUCUCUGUCUCUGUCUCUGUCUCUUGCUGCUUUAGUUUGAAAACCUGACCGGCCUAAUUUGUUGUGGGAGCAGAGGUUCCCAGCCCUAGCUGCACAUCACCUGGGAGAAUAAUAAAAUGUCAAUGUCAGGUCACCUCCCUGCAGACCCACUGAAUCAGAAUUUCUAGGGGUUAGAGCCAAGAGAUGAGCAUUCCACAAAGCUCCCUAGAUGAUUCUGAGGCAAAGCCCCUGGUGUGGAGUCUGAGGGAAGAAUAUUCUGGGAUUCCUGAUACAGAUACAGGUUACCACAUGCUCCCCUGAACAUCCGGGGACUUGAGUGUUUAACAAGUGCCAUGGAUGACUUAUGAAAUGGCAACUUUGGGAAACACUGGGGUAGAGGAAAGAUCCCUGGAUCAGAGUCAGAAAGACCGUGCUCCUGGUUCGAGACUUCUCACAGGUCGCAGGCUCAUUUCCUCAUCUGUAGAAUGGAGGUGAUGGUAAUUGCAUGGGGCAGAGAUGGAUAACUACCCCAGAGGUCUACAUACGCAGUCUAUAGGACAGUUUGUGUUGAAAACUGGCUGUCACAGGCUGUCACAGAGACUACAUUUCCCAGCUCCCCUUUACAUUUAGGUGAGGCGGCCACAUGACUGAGUUCUGGCCAAUGGAACAAGGGCAUAAGUGAGGAGGGCUGCUACCCAUAAAAACCUCCCACAAUGUCCUCUGCUCUCUCUCUCCACUGUCUGCCCAUUGGAUAUUAAAUGUCCACUGGAUAGCAAUGCCUGGGUGAUCUUGGAAGCCACAUGGGAGGGUUAACAGAACUCUCUGCCCUUCUCCUAACUUGCUGCUAAUUGGACCUCAUGUGAGUGAAAAAUAAACUAGUGUGUAAAGUCACUGUGAUUUGGCAAUCUAUCUCUUAGAGUAGCUAGUGAUUUGUUAACUAACAUACUGCCCCUAGGAUUGUGGCAAAAAUGAUCUCCUGCAGAGGCUGCAAACUGACAAUGCGAGGGCUUGAUCUAACCCACAAAUAUGUUUUGUUAUUUCUGUGCCAGCCAGUGUUUUUGUUUUUGUUUUUUUCUCAACACAUCUUAAAAGGAGAGAUUUCAUGUGAUCAUCUGGAUCUCCAGGUUCCUGAAAACCUGGGAUAGCUGGCAGCCAUGUUGCAAUCCACCGUGAGAGUAAUUGGCUGGAACAAGGAGCAGCUAUGCACCAGGUGGAGCAUGUGCCCUCCCAGCCCACCAUGUCUCCGCCACACCCUUAGGGCAUUACUGGGACCCUGGUAGCUUCCUGAGUCAGAGGCCCUGAUGUAAUAGAUGCAGAUAUUAGAUGCAUUCACUGUUAGGAUUUUUUUUUUAAGAAAAAAAUCUGUGUAUUUAUUUUGAGAGAGAGGGAGAGAGAGCAUGUGCGCUUGAGUGGGGGAGGGGCGGAAAGAGAAUCCCA